rnacentral:rRNA from 1 species
UACAGAGGGUGCAAGCGUUGUUCGGAAUCACUGGGCGUAAAGCGCACGUAGGCGGAUUUGUAAGUCAGGGGUGAAAUCCCGGGGCUCAACCUCGGAACUGCCUUUGAUACUGCGAGUCUUGAGUCCGAUAGAGGUGGGUGGAAUUCCUAGUGUAGAGGUGAAAUUCGUAGAUAUUAGGAAGAACACCAGUGGCGAAGGCGGCCCACUGGAUCGGUACUGACGCUGAGGUGCGAAAGCGUGGGGAGCAAACAGG